CUGAUGUGGAGGCCAAGUGGUCUGGGUCUGUUCAUGACUCCAGGAUUUAUGGAGAGUCUAACCUGAGCAACAGACUGCAGCGUGGAGAGUUUGAUGGCCUUCUGCUGGGUGACAGGGGUUACCAUGCCAACCCAGGCUGAUGACCUCAUACCCUGACCCUGAACCAGACCCCCAACAGAACUUCAACCGGGCUCACUGCAGGACCAGAGCCCGGGUGGAGAUGACCAUAGGCCUGCUGAAAGCCCGUUUCCAGAGCCUACGUCUCCUCAGGGUGACCCCUGAGAGGGCCUGUGAUAUUACUGUGGCAUGUGUUGUUCUUCAUAAUAUUACCACUAUUAGAGGAGAGCAACACCCUGCCCUACAAACUGAAGACCCAGAUGAUGACCUCAUCCACCUGCAGCUAUCCAGGACAGCAGAGCAGUCAGAGACACCGUAUGCAAUAAUCACUUUAGAGUUUAAGUCACCAUCAUCACCACCACAGCAAAUAAAGACAUGAUACACAUUUCA